rnacentral:rRNA from 1 species
UACGGAGGGUGCAAGCGUUAUCCGGAUUCACUGGGUUUAAAGGGUGCGUAGGUGGGUCUGUAAGUCAGUGGUGAAAUCUUCGAGCUUAACUCGGAAACUGCCAUCGAUACUAUAGAUCUUGAAUUUUCUGGAGGUAAGCGGAAUAUGUCAUGUAGCGGUGAAAUGCUUAGAUAUGACAUAGAACACCAAUUGCGAAGGCAGCUUACUACGGGAACAUUGACACUGAGGCACGAAAGCGUGGGGAUCAAACAGG